AGAGUUUGAUCCUGGCUCAGGACGAACGCUGGCGGCGCGCCUAACACAUGCAAGUCGAACGAGAGAUGAGGAGCUUGCUCUUCAAAUCGAGUGGCGAACGGGUGAGUAACGCGUGAGGAACCUGCCUCAAAGAGGGGGACAACAGUUGGAAACGACUGCUAAUACCGCAUAAGCCCACGGCUCGGCAUCGAGCAGAGGGAAAAGGAGCAAUCCGCUUUGAGAUGGCCUCGCGUCCGAUUAGCUAGUUGGUGAGGUAACGGCCCACCAAGGCGACGAUCGGUAGCCGGACUGAGAGGUUGAACGGCCACAUUGGGACUGAGACACGGCCCAGACUCCUACGGGAGGCAGCAGUGGGGAAUAUUGCACAAUGGGGGAAACCCUGAUGCAGCGACGCCGCGUGGAGGAAGAAGGUCUUCGGAUUGUAAACUCCUGUUGUUGAGGAAGAUAAUGACGGUACUCAACAAGGAAGUGACGGCUAACUACGUGCCAGCAGCCGCGGUAAAACGUAGGUCACAAGCGUUGUCCGGAAUUACUGGGUGUAAAGGGAGCGCAGGCGGGAGAACAAGUUGGAAGUGAAAUCCAUGGGCUCAACCCAUGAACUGCUUUCAAAACUGUUUUUCUUGAGUAGUGCAGAGGUAGGCGGAAUUCCCGGUGUAGCGGUGGAAUGCGUAGAUAUCGGGAGGAACACCAGUGGCGAAGGCGGCCUACUGGGCACCAACUGACGCUGAGGCUCGAAAGUGUGGGUAGCAACAGGAUUAGAUACCCUGGUAGUCCACACCGUAAACGAUGAUUACUAGGUGUUGGAGGAUUGACCCCUUCAGUGCCGCAGUUAACACAAUAAGUAAUCCACCUGGGGAGUACGACCGCAAGGUUGAAACUCAAAGGAAUUGACGGGGGCCCGCACAAGCAGUGGAGUAUGUGGUUUAAUUCGACGCAACGCGAAGAACCUUACCAAGUCUUGACAUCCCUUGACGAACAUAGAAAUAUGUUUUCUCUUCGGAGCAAGGAGACAGGUGGUGCAUGGUUGUCGUCAGCUCGUGUCGUGAGAUGUUGGGUUAAGUCCCGCAACGAGCGCAACCCUUAUGGUCAGUUACUACGCAGGAGGACUCUGGCCAGACUGCCGUUGACAAAACGGAGGAAGGUGGGGAUGACGUCAAAUCAUCAUGCCCUUUAUGACUUGGGCUACACACGUACUACAAUGGCGUUAAACAAAGAGAAGCAAGACCGCGAGGUGGAGCAAAACUCAGAAACAACGUCCCAGUUCGGACUGCAGGCUGCAACUCGCCUGCACGAAGUCGGAAUUGCUAGUAAUCGUGGAUCAGCAUGCCACGGUGAAUACGUUCCCGGGCCUUGACACACCGCCCGUC
rnacentral:rRNA from 1 species